GCAGGCUCCAGCGAGCCCACUUACCUAAGAUGGCCGCAGGCAGGCAGGCCGGCCCAGGGGGUGGUCGCUGGCUCUGCAAUCGGGGCUCCACCAUGGGCCGCUCAGACCUCCCUCGCCCUCUCCAGGCCCAGGGGGAAUCCAGUCCGACCUGUCAAUCACCCAGCCAGGAGACUACCCCUCAGGAAAGCUGAUUCACCGAGACUGAUGCUACAGAGACGAGGUGGGGUGAGGUUUGGACCCAAGAAAAGCCUCUGUGGUAUACUUAUAUACUUACUUGUUUAGUGGGAACACACCAGGCUUUUCUGACCUCUGUGGGAACAGCCUCCUGUUCCUUGAAGAUGUACCAACUGACCCCCCUUUGCUCACCUGGGUCCUCCUGGGAGGCUAGCACAGACGUGGAAUGGCAGUGAGGAGCUGCUUGAGACCAUGUGGUUGACAGCAACAUCCCAGGAACCAUGGAACAGGAUGGAAGGCAACUGGGUCGCUGAAAAUACCAGACCCUCUCUCCUUUUGUAACACCAUCCACGCUCUGAUUUACUUGUCCGGUUGGGAUUUUUCCCAGCAAGAUGAGUCUCUGAAGUUCUCUCUCUCUUCCUUCACCCCAUUAAAGGGUGUAGUCUCUCUUCUCUCAUAACUUUAGUCACUUCCUGCCAAGGGCACUGUGGGCCAAGGCAAUCCUGUUCCUAAGAAUCGGGCAUUUGCUGCUGACAGAGAGUUGGGACAAGGUUCAAAUGAAGACUUCAUCUCUCGCCUUCUCCUCCUUUGCUUCUUGACAUCAGUCCUACCUGACAUAUGAGAACCUUUAUGCGUGAACAUCUUGGCUCAUGCUUAAUUUAUAGUUUUGAGACAGGGUCUCACUAGGUAGUCCUAGUAGGCUUGUCACUCACUCUUGGAGGCUGGCUCACAACUCACAGAGAUCCACCUGUGAGCCCCCACAGUGAUGGAGUGAAAGGAUUUGAUCUCCAUAAUGCCACCCUCCCAGCCUUUGUUAAUGUUUAAACUCUAUCCUGCCCGGUUUUAGAGGACAAGUGCACAGAACCAAGGAAUCCCCAAGGUUUUACCAGGGGAAGGAGAAGCCCAGGGUAGGUGGAUGUCAGAGCGCCCAGGUGGUGCUACUGGAUCUUGAAAGCCCAUUCUACACAUUUUGUUUGUUUUUGAGUGGGGCUUCAUUUGUUCAUUUGUCUUUUAGACAGGUUCUCAAUAUAUAGCUUUCUUUGGCUGGCCUAGAACUUGCUACGUAGACCACGCUGGCCUGAAACUCACAGAGAUCCUCCUGUCUCUGCCUUCCCAGUGGUAGAAUUAAAGGCAUUUGCUACCACACCUGGAAGGGGCUUUUGUUUUGCCGAGGCUAGCCUCAAACUGACCGUGUAGCCAAGAACGGUAACCUUGAAUUCCUGAUCCCCCUGCUGUUACCUCCCAGUAGCGGGGGGUCACAGCUGAAUGCCAACCACACUGUUUGGACUUCUGGCUGUCAGAAAUGAA